AGAGUUUGAUCCUGGCUCAGGACGAACGCUGGCGGCGUGCCUAACACAUGCAAGUCGAACGGAGAUACGAUUUCGGUUGUAUCUUAGUGGCGAACGGGUGAGUAACGCGUGAGCAACCUGACUCUUAGAGGGGGAUAACACUCGGAAACGGGUGCUAAUACCGCAUAAGACCACGACAUGGCAUCAUGACGAGGUCAAAGGAGCAAUCCGCUGAGAGAGGGGCUCGCGUCCCAUUAGAUAGAUGGCGGGGUAACGGCCCACCAUGUCCGCGAUGGGUAGCCGAGCUGAGAGGCUGAUCGGCCACACUGGAACUGAGACACGGUCCAGACUCCUACGGGAGGCAGCAGUGAGGAAUAUUGGGCAAUGGACGCAAGUCUGACCCAGCAACGCCGCGUGAAGGAUGAAUGUCGUAAGAUUGUAAACUUCUGUGAGAAGGGACGAAAAAACAGGCUCAUACCCUGUUCUGACGGUACCUUCAGAGGAAGCCCCGGCUAACUACGUGCCAGCAGCCGCGGUAAUACGUAGGGGGCUAGCGUUGUCCGGAUUUACUGGGUGUAAAGGGCGCGUAGGUGGACUUGUCAGUCAGAGGUGAAACCCUGCAGCUUAACUGCAGAACUGCCUUUGAUACUGCAAGCCUUGAGUCUAGAAGAGAAAAGCGGAAUUCCAGGUGUAGUGGUGAAAUACGUAGAUAUCUGGAAGAACACCAGUUGCGAAGGCGGCUUUUUGGUCUAGAACUGACACUGAGGCGCGAAAGCGUGGGUAGCAAACAGGAUUAGAUACCCUGGUAGUCC
rnacentral:rRNA from 1 species